rnacentral:rRNA from 1 species
CCAGAUUUACUGGGCGUAAAGCGCGUGUAGGUGGUUUUGUAAGUAGGGCGUGAAAGCUCUGGCUCAACUGGGAGAGGCCGUUCUAAACUGCAGAACUAGAGGAUGGUAGAGGGAGGUGGAAUUCCAGGUGUAGCGGUGGAAUGCGCAGAUAUCUGGAGGAACACCAGUGGCGAAAGCGGCCUCCUGGACCAUUCCUGACACUCAGACGCGAAAGCUAGGGUAGCACACGGGAUUAGAGACCCCGGUAGUCCUAGCCCUAAACGAUGUAGACUAGACGUCGGUGGUGUAAUAGCUGUCGGUGUCCAAGCUAACGCGAUAAGUCUACCGCGUGGGGACUACGGCCGCACGGUUAAAACUCAAAGGAAUUGACGGGUCCCCGCACAAGCAGCGGAGCGUGUGGUUUAAUUCGUUGCUACACGAAGAACCUUACCUGGGUUUGACAUAGCAGUGGUAGGGAAGAGAAAUCGGACCGACCCUUCGGGGAGCUGUUACAGGUGUUGCAUGGCUGUCGUCAGCUCGUGUCGUGAGAUGUUCGGUUAAGUCCGCUAACGAGCGCAACCCGCGUUGUGUGUUAUAUGUGUCACACAAUACCGCCGGUAUUAAGCCGGAGGAAGGUGCGGAUGACGUCAAGUCAGCAUGACCUUUAUAUCCAGGGCUACAAACACGCUACAAUGGACAGUACAACAGGUUGCCAAGCCGCGAGGCGGAGCCAAUCCUCUAAAGCUGUCCUCAGUUCAGAUUGCAGGCUGCAACUCGCCUGCAUGAAGUUGGAGUUGCUAGUAACCGCAGGUCAGC